rnacentral:lncRNA from 1 species
CAUGCGUGCCGUAUGCGUGUUUAGGAGGCUGCCUCUCCACUAUGGACAUACCAGACUAGUCUCGAGCACCCACAUGCAUGUCUGUCUCGGGCUCUCUCGGCGCGCAUGUGCACAAAACAAAAUCUGUACACUAGUGCACAGCUGCUAUAUGCACAAAUCAUGCCAUGGGGGCCCUGUCUCAGCACUUAAGCAUGCUUAAAAAGUGUCCUCCAUACAUUCGACACACGGCAUAGUCGUUAGCUACGACCUAUCCUAGCACAUGAGUGCCUCGUGAUAGUGGGCUAAAGUAAAUGGCAAUUCUCGUUGAUAUCUAAACUCUUUUCCUCAUCCUAGCCAUCCUGAAACUGAUUUAAAGCAAAAAAAUCAAUAUUUAAUCAUAUUUCAAACAGACCUGAUAGUAGAAAGUAAAUUAAGUAACCGAUUAAAAUCAUCUCAAUGCACACACACCUUAUAGAUGCACUUGCAUGCAAUUCAAAAAUUUUAGUGAUCUAAAAGCCAUCUAAAAAUUUGUUAAAAUCAUUGAAACAAUACUCCAUUCUUUACCUAAAGUCGAUUGUACUUUAGAUUCCAAAAAAGAAGUGAAAACCUUUUGGGAUCAAAGGAGGAAACAGUUGCAUUAGAGGGAAAUCGGGCUUUGGAAAAUAGCGUACAAGGUCCUCAUUCUUUGAAGAAGACUGCACACAAUUACUUUACGAGAAGGUUUUUGCAUGAUUUUCAGAGAAUGAAAUGUGCUUACCUCUCAAAGAAGAAAGGACAGACCUAGCAGUAAGUUUGCACUAGCUGCAGCAGCAAAAGAGGAUGAAAUAUCAGCAACCUCACAGCCUACUCUCAACUCUCUCUCGAGUUUUCUUUUUCUGAAGAAAUGAAGAAAAGUAAGGAAAAGGAAGGCUCUUUAAAUAGAAGAGGAAGGUGCAUCUAGCAACAUUGGAUCACAUUCAAGUAGAGAUAACUGUCAAUCAGGUGAGCAGCCAACUAGGGAAAGCUUGGUUCUGGUCGAGAUGCUCUAAUAGACAGAAAG